CUUGACUGCGAGCGUGACGGCGCGAGCAGGUGCGAAAGCAGGUCAUAGUGAUCCGGUGGUUCUGAAUGGAAGGGCCAUCGCUCAACGGAUAAAAGGUACUCCGGGGAUAACAGGCUGAUACCGCCCAAGAGUUCAUAUCGACGGCGGUGUUUGGCACCUCGAUGUCGGCUCAUCACAUCCUGGGGCUGAAGUAGGUCCCAAGGGUAUGGCUGUUCGCCAUUUAAAGUGGUACGCGAGCUGGGUUUAGAACGUCGUGAGACAGUUCGGUCCCUAUCUGCCGUGGGCGCUGGAGAACUGAGGGGGGCUGCUCCUAGUACGAGAGGACCGGAGUGGACGCAUCACUGGUGUUCGGGUUGUCAUGCCAAUGGCACUGCCCGGUAGCUAAAUGCGGAAGAGAUAAGUGCUGAAAGCAUCUAAGCACGAAACUUGC
rnacentral:rRNA from 1 species